rnacentral:rRNA from 1 species
UACGAGUGCCCUAAGCGUUAUCCGGAAUCAUUGGGCGUAAAGGGUGUGUAGGUGGUUGUGUUAGUCUUCUGUUAAAUUCUUCGGCUUAACCGGGGGCAUGCAGAAGAAACGGCACAACUUGAGGAUGCGAGAGGUGAACAGAACUCAUGGAGUAGGGGUGAAAUCCGUUGAUAUCAUGGGGAAUACCAAAUGCGAAGGCAGUUCACUGGCGCACUCCUGACACUGAAACACGAAAGCGUAGGUAGCGAAUGGG